CAGCCACGGCGAACAACCGGGCGAGCCCGGCAACGGCUCGCCUGAGGAAACUUCCCCACGACACCGUGGGUCCCCGCGGGGCAACCCGCCGACCGAGAGGUCGCUGGGGAACAACGGCCCAAAUAGGGACCUGUGAUCUCCACGGGUGAGGUCCGGGUAGGGCCUUAGACGAAUAGUACAGAAGGGGAGUUAUGCCGUGGCUG
rnacentral:RNase_P_RNA from 2 species